CCGUGUGUGUGUGUGUGUGUGUGUGUGUGUGUGUGUGUUUCUCUGACUGUGUGUGUGUGUUCCAGAGUGGUGUCCAGGCAGUGAGGGCUACAUCCUCAGCAGUAGAAGGAACAUCGCCAUGCGGAGUGACUCGUCCCCCUCUAAAGCUGGGGUUCUCUACUCCAACGCUCCGACCUACUUCUGUGGACAGACGCUCACCUUCAAGAUCUCUGCCACGGGCCAGGUGGACAAGCGGGACAGUAUCGGGGUGUGUGUGGGGUGUGAGGGAGAGGCGGAGUCUCUGCAGAGGGACCAGGCCGUCUGCAUCUCCACCAACGGAGCAGUGUUUGUCAACGGUAAAGAGAUGACCAACCAGCUGCCUUCCAUCACCCUCGGCUCUGCUGUGACCUUCGAUAUGGAAGUGGUCAACCUACUUCCUAUUAGCAACAACAACAACCUUAGCGACGGAGGCAACUUCAAGCUGAGGGUUACGAUUGGCUCAGGGAACCGGGAAGUGGUGUUUGAUUGGCUGCUGGACCAGGGGGUGGACUGCCUGUUCUUUGGCUGCUCCUUAGCCCACCCUGGUUGGAAGGUGCUGGUGUUCUGAGGCUGCUGAUUGGACAGCAGACCUGUCAGUCAACACAAAGGGACAAGCAGGGUUUCAUCUGGUCCUUUCACCCUGGGAAAGGUUUCAUCUGGUCCUUUCACCCUGGGAAAGGUUUCAUCUGGUCCUUUCACCCUGGGAAAGGUUUCAUCUGGUCCUUUCACCCUGGGAAAGGUUUCAUCUGGUCCUUUCACCCUGGGAAAGGUUUCAUCUGGUCCUUUCACCCUGGGAAAGGUUUCAUCUGGUCCUUUCACCCUGGGAAAGGUUUCAUCUGGUCCUUUCACCCUGGGAAAGGUUUCCUCUGGUCCUUUCACCCUGGGAAAGGUUUCAUCUGGUCCUUUCACCCUGGGAAAGGUUUCAUCUGGUCCUUUCACCCUGGGAAAGGUUUCAUCUGGUCCUUUCACCCUGGGAAAGGUUUCAUCUGGUCCUUUCACCCUGGGAAAGGUUUCAUCUGGUCCUUUCACCCUGGGAAAGGUUUCCUCUGGUCCUUUCACCCUGGGAAAGGUUUCAUCUGGUCCUUUCACCCUGGGAAAGGUUUCCUCUGGUCCUUUCACCCUGGGAAAGGUUUCAUCUGGUCCUUUCACCCUGGGAAAGGUUUCAUCUGGUCCUUUCACCCUGGGAAAGGUUUCAUCUGGUCCUUUCACCCUGGGAAAGGUUUCAUCUGGUCCUUUCACCCUGGGAAAGGUUUCAUCUGGUCCUUUCACCCUGGGAAAGGUUUCCUCUGGUCCUUUCACCCUGGGAAAGGUUUCCUCUGGUCCUUUCACCCUGAGAAAGGUUUCAUCUGGUCCUUUCACCCUGGGAAAGGUUUCAUCUGAGGCAGCGAUCUGUGCUUCCUCCAGGUAUGACUGGUGAUUGGCUGAGAGGCGUCUGCUCCGGUAUCAGAGAAUCUCAGCUUUCUCCUCUUGGGCACCUGGAUGGACAAUGUACACAAAGCCCUUUCUGACCUGUCUGAUAAGAUAUCCUGCCAUCUGAUACAGACUGGUGUACCAGAACUGACCAAUCAUUAUUCCUUUUCAAGACACACUCAGGCUGUGCAUGAAAUGGCACCCUGUUCCCUACAUAGUGCUUAUGGGCCUUGGUCAAAAGUAGUGGACUAUGUAGGGAAUAGGGUGCCAUUCCUGUGCCCAAUUUCAGAUGCACAUUAUCUCCAAACGUCCUAAAAUGGUGUUUUUUUAAACUUAUGAAUGUGAGAAUAAUAAGGGGGUGGACUCGCUCAGAGAAGUGAUCAGAGAGCGAGACGUUACCUUUCAUCAAACACUUGAGCUGCAAAGCAUGCUGGUCUGGUUUACCACAGAAUAAAACACCAUCACUGUGUAAAACAACUCACUCCAGAGAUCGUAACCUCUUCUUCGUCGGUCUCUCUUCUCCCUGUCGACCCGUUUUCAGUUCUCUAGUGUGAGCAGAACUCAUGCGGUGUACAAAGUUCAGAUUCUCUAAUGUGUAUGUGUUCUGAAUCAGAUUCAGAUCAGAUUUCAUGCUCUUAAUGUGCUUUUUAAAAACAUUUUUUUUUUUGCCAACAGUAUUCACAACCAUGUAAUGUAACUUCACUUGUAGACAUUGAUGUACUUUCUUGUGAAUUUUGGGGGGAACUUGGAGAGGUGAAUUUAUAUUUUAAAACGGCAUCCCAUUUCCUCUAGAUCACUAUAGGGACUAGGGGGGCCGUUUUGGGUUGCUUCCUGUGGUUCUGCAGAGAUGGUAUGGUUGCUGUGGUUACAGAGCGCUCUUCAGCAGACUGACUGUUGAGUUCGAUGGUUCAAAUUUAAAUGAACCUGUAUUUAACAAGGCAAGUCAGGAAAGAACUAAAUUUACAUUUACAUUUAAGUCAUUUAGCAGACGCUCUUAUCCAGAGCAACUUACACAAUGACUGCCUACCCCCCUCUCCUAACCCGGACGAUGCUGGGCCAAACCCUAUGGGACUCCCGAUCAUGCCCGGUUGUGUGACAGCCUGGAAACGAACCAGGGUCUGUAGUGACGCCUCUAGCACUGCAAUACAGCGCCUCAGACCGCUGCGCCACUCGGGAGUGUGACAGUUUCACAUUUAAACAGGUUAACAGUGGUCAUACAUACUGUAAGACAGUGCGAGAUAAAAGCUAUAGCUUGGAUACAGUACAUAGCUGUAUAGUUACUCUGUGGCAGUGUUGCUCCAUGUCCAAAUCAUCUGAUAUCAGUGAAAGGCUGCCAAUGGCGGUAGGGUUGUGGGGUUGGAAAUGGAACCAGGCCACCUGUUAUAGGAGGGGUCGUCCUCAGCUGUCUGUCAUUAGUGGGGUCGUACUCAGCUGUCUUGUCAUCCACCACCCUCUUCAUGCAAACAUCCGUCUCCGAUUCCUUUAACUGUGUGUACGAGUCCCAAAUAGCACCCUAUCCCCUAUCUAGUGCACUACUUUUUGACCCGGAUCCAUAGGGCCGGUCAAAAGAAGUGCAUCAGAUAGGGUGCCAUUUGGAAUGCUGACUGUGACUUGUAAAAUCAGGGUUGGGGCUCAGUUCCAUUUCAAUUCGGGUGUUUAACUGAAAUUCCAAAUUGCCUUUAAAGUGGAAUGUGAGUCGACUUCCUAAAAUGGCAUUGACCCCCAGUCCUGCUUAUUAUUGACAUGUGUUUGUCUUCCUUCAGUACAGAACAAAUGGCCCAGAAACAUCCAAUAAAUUGCUUAGUCAUCUA